GGAUCAUUGUCGAAAUCGAACGGAAGAACGACCCGCGAAUCGUCAUUGCGUAGUAGACAGAGCCCGUGAGCACCUAACGCUCACGGGUCUCGCGUCGCGUCGGCGCGGGUGUACUCGAGACCCGCGUCGUACCUGCGAACAAACAACGUCAGCACGGAUCGUGCCAAGGAGCUGCAUGGAGAGAAUCGUCGUCCCACGCCUUGGGACGGGGGACGUACGCAAUCUCUACUCAAGUCUAAACGACUCUCGGCAACGGAUAUCUCGGCUCUUGCAUCGAUGAAGAACGUAGCGAAAUGCGAUACUUGGUGUGAAUUGCAGAAUCCCGAAAUGCGAUACUUGGUGUGAAUUGCAGAAUCCCGUGAACCAUCAAUUCUUUGAACGCAAGUUGCGCCCGAAGCCAUUCGGCCGAGGGCACGCCUGCCUGGGCGUCGUGAAUCCCCUUGCCCCUAGGCACCCGCAUGAGCAUUGGCGGGGAUAUAUGCCCGGGCGCAGAAUAUGGUCUCCCGUGGGAUCGGCAUGCACGGCAUGUCGAGGUGCGGUUGGCCGAAAAUCGAGCAUGGCGGUGACGGGCACCACGGCGUUCGGUGGAUCGAACGAGAUUGGCUGCGUCGUGGGCUCGGCAUGCGGCGGGCUCCGGACUUUGAAUAUCCCCGAGUGCGAUCCCAGGUCAGGCGGGGCUACCCGCUGAGUUUAAGCAUAUCAAUAAGCGGAGGAAAAGAAACUAACGAGGAUUCCCUUAGUAGCGGC
rnacentral:rRNA from 1 species